rnacentral:tRNA from 1 species
GAGAGUAUAGCUCAAUUGGUAGAGUACAAGCUUAGCAUGUAUGAGGUCCUGGGUUCAAUUCCCAGCACGUCCG